AUAUUGUAGGACUGAUACAUAGUGCUGCUGUAGAUCAUUUUUCACAUUUAUAUUUUUCACAUAUACACUACAUAUGUGUGUGUCGAUGAAUAUGCAGAUUUCUGAUACAAACAGAUCAUUAACUUGCCAAUAUGUAAUAUGAUACAAAAUCACAGCAAUAUAUAGGCAUCACCAAAGGGUUCCUCCAAGUAGCAUAGGGGGCUGUAGAGGAUAUAGUGCAAGGAGUACCAUGGCUCCAUUCCCUCCUAAGGAGGCAGCAUAUUUACAACAGCUUAUCUGGAUAUCGUCAUGGGGACAAGCAUCAACGAAUGGCAGCUGAAUGACAUUGGGAUUCUGCAGAGCUGUAGAAGCCUGAUGCUGCUACUGCCAGUCAUUCACUAGCUGAGACCAUCAGCUGUGGGCUCUCUGCCAGAUGUGGAGUUACACCUCUAGCAACAGUAUUAAUAUCUCUGUAUGUGAAGCGUUUCUUACACCAUGAUCACUCCGUAUCAAUGGACUGGUCACGGUACUUCUAGUAAUGCUUUAAUGUUUACACGUGGCCUUUGUACAUAAAUGUUGCAAAAUUGUUCAUCUAACCUAUUGUACCUUCCUUUGACCCAGCCCAUUAACUUGUGCCCUCUCUACUGGUCAUUUCGUUCACAUGCAUCUCCUUUUAUUCUAUUGAGCUACUCGAUCAAUCCUUGCUGUAUUUCCAGUGAUAUGUCAUGUGAUAGGCUGGGAUGCUG